rnacentral:tRNA from 1 species
GGUUGUGGCUCUGUGGUAGAGCUCUCACCUAGAAUGUGGGAGACCUGGGUUCAAUCCUCAGCACCA